GAUGAACGCUGGCGGCGUGCCUAAUACAUGCAAGUCGAGCGAACGGACGAGAAGCUUGCUUCUCUGAUGUUAGCGGCGGACGGGUGAGUAACACGUGGAUAACCUACCUAUAAGACUGGGAUAACUUCGGGAAACCGGAGCUAAUACCGGAUGAUAUUUUGAACCGCAUGGUUCAAAAGUGAAAGACGGUUUUGCUGUCACUUAUAGAUGGAUCCGCGCUGCAUUAGCUAGUUGGUAAGGUAACGGCUUACCAAGGCAACGAUGCAUAGCCGACCUGAGAGGGUGAUCGGCCACACUGGAACUGAGACACGGUCCAGACUCCUACGGGAGGCAGCAGUAGGGAAUCUUCCGCAAUGGGCGAAAGCCUGACGGAGCGACGCCGCGUGAGUGAUGAAGGUCUUCGGAUCGUAAAACUCUGUUAUUAGGGAAGAACAUAUGUGUAAGUAACUGUGCACAUCUUGACGGUACCUAAUCAGAAAGCCACGGCUAACUACGUG
rnacentral:rRNA from 1 species